CCCUGCCUUUUGUACACACCGCCCGUCGCACCUACCGAUCGAAGGUAAUGAUGAGCCCUCAGGACUGCUGAAGAGGCCCCUCACGGGGUCUUUUCGGUUGAAAUUUGUGCAAAUCCUUACCUUUAGAGGAAGGU
rnacentral:rRNA from 1 species